rnacentral:rRNA from 1 species
CCUACGGGUGGCUGCAGUGGGGAAUAUUGCACAAUGGGCGCAAGCCUGAUGCAGCCAUGCCGCGUGUGUGAAGAAGGCCUUCGGGUUGUAAAGCACUUUCAGCGGGGAGGAAGGCGGUGAGGUUAAUAACCUCAUCGAUUGACGUUAUCCGCAGAAGAAGCACCGGCUAACUCCGUGCCAGCAGCCGCGGUAAUACGGAGGGUGCAAGCGUUAAUCGGAAUUACUGGGCGUAAAGCGCACGCAGGCGGUCUGUCAAGUCGGAUGUGAAAUCCCCGGGCUCAACCUGGGAACUGCAUUCGAAACUGGCAGGCUAGAGUCUUGUAGAGGGGGGUAGAAUUCCAGGUGUAGCGGUGAAAUGCGUAGAGAUCUGGAGGAAUACCGGUGGCGAAGGCGGCCCCCUGGACAAAGACUGACGCUCAGGUGCGAAAGCGUGGGGAGCAAACAGGAUUAGAUACCCCGGUAGUC